rnacentral:rRNA from 1 species
CGCUGGCGGCGUGCCUAAUACAUGCAAGUCGAACGGUCUUUCUAUGGAAGCUUGCUUCCACUGAGAAGAUAGUGGCGAACGGGUGAGUAACACGUGGGUAACCUGCCCAUAAGAGGGGGAUAACAUCCGGAAACGGGUGCUAAUACCGCAUAGUUUUCUUGAUCGCAUGAUCGGGAAAGGAAAGACGGCCUUUGUGCUGUCGCUUAUGGAUGGACCCGCGGCGUAUUAGUUAGUUGGUGAGGUAACGGCUCACCAAGACGAUGAUACGUAGCCGACCUGAGAGGGUGAUCGGCCACAUUGGGACUGAGACACGGCCCAAACUCCUACGGGAGGCAGCAGUAGGGAAUCUUCCGCAAUGGACGAAAGUCUGACGGAGCAACGCCGCGUGAGUGAAGAAAGGUUUUCGGAUCGUAAAACUCUGUUGUCAGAGAAGAAUAAGUUGGAGAGUAACUGCUCCAGCCUUGACGGUAUCUGACCAGAAAGCCACGGCUAACUACGUGCCAGCCGCCGC